AUGAGUCAAAAUGAAAUAAUAAUAACAAGUUCUAAUACAGGCCUUCCAAUGUAAGGGAGACUCACCAAUUGCAACUUCCGACGCACUCAAAUAUAUUGCUGAACUGGACCCCGAGACUGUGCCUCAGAUCCUAAGAUGGAGGGGGAAUCAAUACAGAUGUACUGGUACGCAGAGCAAUCCAAAAUAAUAUAUUUUUAUAUACAACAUAGGUGAGAGCUUUUCAUAAAAAUGUUAAACAAGAAAUAAUUUAAAACACAUGGGCAACUUAAAAUAAUCGUUCAAUGCAAAUCUGUAGAUGUAAAACCAUUCUUUAUUUUUUUUUUUACUUCUGAGGUAAGUGGUACACCCUACAUAUCUGAAAGUUUUCCAUGGGCAAUAUGGGAUCUGCCAUUAACUCGACGGCCAAGCCCCCAACCCAAGUUUUCCGCAAGGGUUUGAAGUAUCUGAAUCUGAUACGCCCCAGGACACUAGGCCGACGUAUAAUAAUAUACUCAUAUUGCUAAAACAUGGUUUCGGGCAAUGAAUCAUAUGACUCGUGCCUUCUUCAGGUAACCACCUAACUCUCUUAGUGCCCAGUUUUUAACCCAUUCUAAACAUGCAUCUUUUUGAAUUCAAAAUGUGAAAUCUAAAAUGAAAUCUGUAUCCUGUUCUGAGUUUUAUCAUGACUUUAUCUGAUUUUGUAUUGUCAUACCAAGACUUGCAAGUCAUAAUUCUGAGCCAUAAAAUAUCCUUUAUAGUUUUCUCUUUCAAAAUACACAUGUUAGAUCACCAUACUUCAAACAAUUCCGAAACAUUCAUUCUUCCAAAAUAUUUAUCAAAUUACGCAAAGGUCAUUCUUUUCAAUCAUUUCAACAAACAAGUGGUGGUCAUGAGUUUCAACAACCCACGAAAUUUUUUUCAUAUAUAUAUAUAUAUAUAUAUUCAAUACUUACCAACAUGUAAAACCCUCUCUCUUCUAUUCAAAAAUCAUAAUCAAGUCAUAAAUAAAGUCAAGGCUUUUAUAUUAAAUUAUAUUUCCAAUAUCACAUUUCGAACACAUUACAUAACAAUUCUCGCAUUGAACCCACAAAUGUAUAUCUUACGAAGUUAAGAGACUUGUAAAUAAGAGAGGGAUUUCAAAUAGUUCAUACUCUCAAUUCAUAAUUCAAACUCAUCAAACUCAUACAUAUAUCUACUUAAACAUGGUUAUAAAUCAGAUUUGGGGGAAAGGUCUCAAGACCAAAUUAAUAUCAUCAAAAACUUUAAAAGCAUGAAUCUAAUUAUAAAUUCAAAAUCCCUUUUUUUGUAAAUUCAUAACUAAACUUUUAACAUGAUUAAUAAGAAUUUACCAUGCCCAUGUAGAUUUAGGAAAACCCUACGUACCUUAGAUUACAAGGUUUGAAGAGUAGAACUCGAAUCUUGAUUUGUUCUUUGAAAAUCUUGGAUUUACGAGAUUGAUUCUUGAUCUUGAAAAAAAGCCUAGUUUCC
rnacentral:lncRNA from 1 species